UAUUUACAUGAGAUUUGUUUAUUUUAAUUUAAAAGUGGAUUACCGAAUCAAUCCCAGUCACCACUGUUACGUCACGAGAUCACGUGACGUAUCCAACAAAAUCGCAAAAGAAAGCAAUCCUGUAUGUCCAUUAUCGUUGGGUAUUCUCGGACUAUACAGUAAUCGCUCGUAUCCUCUUGAGUAUUCCUCAAAAUAGUUGCAAUCGAACGGCCGUCGAGUGCGCAUUAAUUUUUAAAUCCAUUUUAACGAAUUUGAACUAAUUUUGGGUCCACGGGACCCGUGGGUACUUUUAACGUUAUAUUUUCUGUGUGAUUUCAUAAAAGAUCGGAUGAAGAGUUGAUGAAAAUAGUAGAUAAUGAUGAAUUUUGGAACGAUAUUCAAAACAAAGAUGAUGUUUUGAAUAAUAAAGGAGAUCGGUUGCGUGCUAUUGAAGAUGUACUUCAUUAUGGAAAUGCAAGUGAUGUUGAAGAAAUGGAUUUUGAGGAAAUAAGCGAUCACGAUACAGACAGUGAAAUUUAUUAGUGGCAAUUUUAUGAUCAAGACUAUGACUCCGAUGAUAGUGAGUUAGGACAAAUUAGACAUCGAAUUUCCAAUCGAAAAGUUAAUUGCAAAUUACGAGAUACAGCCUCCGAUAUCUUCAAUAUUGAUCCAGAACGCCCUGUUGAGCUACCUGCUGAAGUUUCCAGGUCAAAAAAAAAAGAUGUUCUGUAUGUCCAUCGAAAAACGACCGUAAAACCAACCAUAGUUGCGACAUAGCCAAGAAAACCUAUAUGUUUGCAAUGUGCAAAAACAAUUUGUCCAAAUUGUUUGUGAUUUUUUUUUAUACUUGAUAUGGGUUAACAUUAUAUCAUAGAAUACUUGUUUUCAUUUUGAAAUAAAUUUUUGCAGAA